GACGAACGCUGGCGGCGUGCUUAACACAUGCGAGUCGAACGGAAAGGCCCUGCUUGCCGGGUACUCGAGUGGCGAACGGGUGAGUAACACGUGGGUGAUCUGCCCUGCACUUCGGGAUAAGCCUGGGAAACUGGGUCUAAUACCGGAUAGGGGCCAUUUUUAGUGUGAUGGUUGGAAAGUUUUUUCGGUGUAGGAUGAGCUCGCGGCCUAUCAGCUUGUUGGUGGGGUAAUGGCCUACCAAGGCGGCGACGGGUAGCCGGCCUGAGAGGGUGGACGGCCACAUUGGGACUGAGAUACGGCCCAGACUCCUACGGGAGGCAGCAGUGGGGAAUAUUGCACAAUGGGCGCAAGCCUGAUGCAGCGACGCCGCGUGGGGGAUGACGGCCUUCGGGUUGUAAACUCCUUUCGCUAGGGACGAAGCUUUUUGUGACGGUACCUAGAUAAGAAGCACCGGCUAACUACGUG
rnacentral:rRNA from 1 species